rnacentral:lncRNA from 1 species
GACACUGUGGUCCUCAGUCUCUUUCCCUGCACCCCUGAGCCUGUGAAUCCUGAACCGGAUGCCAGUGUUUCCUCUCCACAGGCAGGCAGCUCCCUGAAGCACUCCACCACUCUCACCAACCGGCAGCGAGGGAACGAGGUGUCAGCUCUGCCGGCCACCCUAGACUGUGACAACCUCGUCAACAAGCCAGACGAGCGCGGCUUCACCCCCCUCAUCUGGGCCUCCGCCUUUGGAGAGAUUGAGACCGUUCGCUUCCUGCUGGAGUGGGGUGCCGACCCCCACAUCCUGGCAAAAGAGCGAGAGAGCGCCCUGUCGCUGGCCAGCACAGGCGGCUACACAGACAUUGUGGGGCUGCUGCUGGAGCGUGACGUGGACAUCAACAUCUAUGAUUGGAAUGGAGGGACGCCACUGCUGUACGCUGUGCGCGGGAACCACGUGAAAUGCGUUGAGGCCUUGCUGGAGACCCUUCAGCCACGUUCUUCAGUGGAGACCAAGAUAGCAGAGCCCGAGGCGCUGACCUCACCACCGAAGCCGACUCUGGCUACA